rnacentral:rRNA from 1 species
GACGAACGCUGGCGGCGUGCCUAAUACAUGCACGUAGAACGCAGUUGCGAACGGGUGAGUAACGCGUAGGUAACUGCCUCAAAGCAUCGGAUAACUAUGGAAAACGAUAGCUAAUACCGCAUAAUGUAAGAUUGACAUGCCUUGGAUUAGCUAGUGGGUGAGGUAAAUACCACCCAAGGCGACGCUACAAUGCCGACCUGAGAGGGUGAUCGGGCAAAAUGGGACUGCGACACGGCCCAGGCUCGUACCGGAGGCAGCAGUAGGGAAUCUUGCGAAAAGGACGGAAGUCUGACCGAGCGACGCCGCGUGAGUGAAGAAGGUUUUCGGAUCGUUAAGCUCUGUUGUUUGAGAAUCGGUAACUAACCAGAAAGGGACGGCUAACUCCGUGCCAGCAGCCGCGGUAAUAC